AGCAAAAUAAUUUAAAUAAAAUAUUUACCUUGAAAGUAAAAAAUGAAAUUAAGUAUUCUUUUGCUU
rnacentral:tRNA from 1 species